GCUUCUGUAGUGUAGCGGUCAUCACGUGCGCUUUACACGCGCAAGGCCCCAGUUCGAACCUGGGCAGAAGCA
rnacentral:tRNA from 1 species